rnacentral:rRNA from 1 species
CCUACGGGUGACAGCAGUGAGGAAUAUUGGUCAAUGGGCGCGAGCCUGAACCAGCCAAGUCGCGUGAGGGCGGACGGCCCUACGGGUUGUAAACCUCUUUUGCCGGGGAGCAACGGGCGUCCCGUGUGGCGCCACUGAGAGUACCCGGAGAAAAAGCAUCGGCUAACUCCGUGCCAGCAGCCGCGGUAAUACGGAGGAUGCGAGCGUUAUCCGGAUUUAUUGGGUUUAACGGGUGCGUAGGCGGAUCGUUAAGUCAGUGGUCAAAUUGAGGGGCUCAACCCCUUCCCGCCAUUGAAACUGGCGUUCUUGAGUGGAAGAGAAGUAUGCGGAAUGCGGGGUGGAGCGGUGAAAUGCAUAGAUAUCACGCAGAACCCCGAUUGCGAAGGCAGCAUGCCGGCUUCCGACUGACGCUGAAGCACGAAAGCGUGGGGAUCGAACAGGAUUAGAUACCCUAGUAGUC